AGAGUUUGAUCCUGGCUCAGGACGAACGCUGGCGGCGCGCCUAACACAUGCAAGUCGAACGGAGCUGAGAGGAGCUUGCUUUUCUUAGCUUAGUGGCGAACGGGUGAGUAACGCGUGAGUAACCUGCCCUGGAGUGGGGGACAACAGUUGGAAACGACUGCUAAUACCGCAUAAGCCCACGGAUCCGCAUGGAUCUGCGGGAAAAGGAUUUAUUCGCUUCAGGAUGGACUCGCGUCCAAUUAGCUAGUUGGUGAGGUAACGGCCCACCAAGGCGACGAUUGGUAGCCGGACUGAGAGGUUGAACGGCCACAUUGGGACUGAGACACGGCCCAGACUCCUACGGGAGGCAGCAGUGGGGGAUAUUGCACAAUGGGGGAAACCCUGAUGCAGCGACGCCGCGUGGAGGAAGAAGGUUUUCGGAUUGUAAACUCCUGUCGUUAGGGACGAUAAUGACGGUACCUAACAAGAAAGCACCGGCUAACUACGUGCCAGCAGCCGCGGUAAAACGUAGGGUGCAAGCGUUGUCCGGAAUUACUGGGUGUAAAGGGAGCGCAGGCGGACCGGCAAGUUGGAAGUGAAAACUAUGGGCUCAACCCAUAAAUUGCUUUCAAAACUGCUGGCCUUGAGUAGUGCAGAGGUAGGUGGAAUUCCCGGUGUAGCGGUGGAAUGCGUAGAUAUCGGGAGGAACACCAGUGGCGAAGGCGGCCUACUGGGCACCAACUGACGCUGAGGCUCGAAAGUGUGGGUAGCAAACAGGAUUAGAUACCCUGGUAGUCCACACCGUAAACGAUGAUUACUAGGUGUUGGAGGAUUGACCCCUUCAGUGCCGCAGUUAACACAAUAAGUAAUCCACCUGGGGAGUACGACCGCAAGGUUGAAACUCAAAGGAAUUGACGGGGGCCCGCACAAGCAGUGGAGUAUGUGGUUUAAUUCGAAGCAACGCGAAGAACCUUACCAGGUCUUGACAUCCGAUGCAUAGCGUAGAGAUAAGUGAAGUCCUUCGGGACAUCGAGACAGGUGGUGCAUGGUUGUCGUCAGCUCGUGUCGUGAGAUGUUGGGUUAAGUCCCGCAACGAGCGCAACCCUU
rnacentral:rRNA from 1 species